rnacentral:rRNA from 1 species
GAUGAACGCUGGCGGCGUGCCUAAUACAUGCAAGUCGAGCGAACAGACGAGGAGCUUGCUCCUCUGGCGUUAGCGGCGGACGGGUGAGUAACACGUGGAUAACCUACCUAUAAGACUGGGAUAACUUCGGGAAACCGGAGCUAAUACCGGAUAAUAUAUUGAACCGCAUGGUUCAAUAGUGAAAGACGGUUUUGCUGUCACUUAUAGAUGGAUCCGCGCCGCAUUAGCUAGUUGGUAAGGUAACGGCUUACCAAGGCAACGAUGCGUAGCCGACCUGAGAGGGUGAUCGGCCACACUGGAACUGAGACACGGUCCAGACUCCUACGGGAGGCAGCAGUAGGGAAUCUUCCGCAAUGGGCGAAAGCCUGACGGAGCAACGCCGCGUGAGUGAUGAAGGUCUUCGGAUCGUAAAACUCUGUUAUUAGGGAAGAACAAAUGCGUAAGUAACUAUGCACGUCUUGACGGUACCUAAUCAGAAAGCCACGGCUAACUACGUG